rnacentral:tRNA from 1 species
CGGCGACCUGGUCGGGCGUCAUCCCGAGGCGCGCGGCCUCGGGGGCGAGGACGUGCAUCGCGAGUUCGGGGCUCGCGUCGGCGAC